GACAAACGCUGGCGGCAUGCCUAACACAUGCAAGUCGAACGGACAGAACAGGGAAGCUUUUCGGAGUGGAACUGGAAAGUUAGUGGCGGAUGGGUGAGUAACGCGUGGACAACCUAUCUUGUAAAGGGGAAUAACCUCGAGAAAUCGAAGCUAAUACCCCACAAUAACCUUGCUUCGCAUGAAGUAAGGAGGGAAUGCGGCCUUAGCGCUGUCGAUACAAGAUGGGUUCGCGUCUGAUUAGCUAGUUGGUGAGGUAAAGGCUCACCAAGGCGACGAUCAGUAGCCGGCCUGAGAGGGUGAACGGCCACAUUGGGACUGAGACACGGCCCAGACUCCUACGGGAGGCAGCAGUGGGGAAUCUUCGGCAAUGGGCGAAAGCCUGACGGAGCAAUGCCGCGUGAGUGAAGAAGGUCUUCGGAUUGUAAAACUCUGUCAUUAUCGAAGAGAGGGUGUUGUAGUAUAUGACAAUACUAGGACGGUAGAUGAGGAAGAAGCACCGGCUAACUAUGUG
rnacentral:rRNA from 1 species